GAUGAAGAACGCAGCGAAAUGCGAUAAGUAAUGUGAAUUGCAGAAUUCAGUGAAUCAUCGAAUCUUUGAACGCACAUUGCGCCCGCCAGUAUUCUGGCGGGCAUGCCUGUUCGUGCGUCAUUUCAACCAUCAAGCCCCCGGCUUGUGUUGGGGACCUGCGGCUGCCGCAGGCCCUGAAAAGCAGUGGCGGGCUCGCUGUCACACCGAGCGUAGUAGCAUACAUCUCGCUCUGGGCGUGCUGCGGGUUCCGGCCGUUAAACCACCUUCAUAACCCAAGGUUGACCUCGGAUCAGGUAGGAAGACCCGCUGAACUUAAGCAUAUCAAUAAGCGGAGGA
rnacentral:misc_RNA from 1 species